GAUCCUGGCUCAGGACGAACGCUGGCGGCGUGCUUAACACAUGCAAGUGAACGAUGAAGCCCUUCGGGGUGGAUUAGUGGCGAACGGGUGAGUAACACGUGGGCAAUCUGCCCUUCACUCUGGGACAAGCCCUGGAAACGGGGUCUAAUACCGGAUAACACCGGCUUCCGCAUGGAGGCUGGUUAAAAGCUCCGGCGGUGAAGGAUGAGCCCGCGGCCUAUCAGCUUGUUGGUGGGGUAAUGGCCUACCAAGGCGACGACGGGUAGCCGGCCUGAGAGGGCGACCGGCCACACUGGGACUGAGACACGGCCCAGACUCCUACGGGAGGCAGCAGUGGGGAAUAUUGCACAAUGGGCGAAAGCCUGAUGCAGCGACGCCGCGUGAGGGAUGACGGCCUUCGGGUUGUAAACCUCUUUCAGCAGGGAAGAAGCGAAAGUGACGGUACCUGCAGAAGAAGCGCCGGCUAACUACGUGCCAGCAGCCCGCGGUA
rnacentral:rRNA from 1 species